rnacentral:lncRNA from 1 species
CUUUAUUCCGAAAGCCAACUUACAAUACAAGUUCUCUUAGGAUACAAAACAAGACUACCUAUAGUACCUUUUAAUACAAAGCUAUUGUGAAGAAAUGGUUACUUCUUCUAUCAGACACCUCAUGCCUCUGUCCUCCAUAUUUUUUCUUUUUGUGCACCACUUUUUAAACCCACUCCCUCUGGUGAGUAAACAUGAGGGCCCAAUGUUUGUAAUACAACACAACAAAUACAUAUUGUUGCUAUCCUAUCAGAUUUCAUCCAGUAUAGUGAAUCGCAGUCCUUAUAUAUAUAUAAUUUUUUUUAACAUUUCAAAGAAAUAAAUACAACAAAAAUUAAUACAGCUG